rnacentral:rRNA from 1 species
CGGAGGGUGCGAGCGUUGUCCGGAAUCACUGGGCGUAAAGGGCGCGUAGGUGGUUUGGUAAGUGUGUGGUGAAAGCCCGGGGCUCAACCCCGGGUCUGCCGCGCAAACUGCCGAACUUGAGCACACUAGAGGCAGGUAGAAUUCCGGGUGUAGCGGUGGAAUGCGUAGAGAUCCGGAAGAAGACCGGUGGCGAAGGCGGCCUGCUGGGGUGGAGCUGACACUGAGGCGCGACAGCGUGGGGAGCAAACAGGAUUAGAUACCCUGGUAGUCCACGCCGUAAACGAUGGGUACUAGGUGCUUGGGGGAGCGACCCCUUGAGUGCCGGCGCUAACGCAUGAAGUACCCCGCCUGGGGAGUACGGCCGCAAGGCUG